rfam:Nematostella vectensis strain CH2 x CH6 NEMVEscaffold_1805_Cont38778, whole genome shotgun sequence.
GCCUCUGUAGCUCAGUGGUUAGAGCACUGGUCUUGUAAACCAGGGGUCGAGAGUUCGACACUAAAAAGGCU